ensembl:lncRNA
ACAACACACAGGUUAGCUACCAGGUGAAACGCUCCCAACACAGUUGCGUUGGAGAAAACUACCUUCCAAGCUACCAGGUGAAACGCUACCAACACAGUUGCGUUGGAGAAAACUACCUUCCAAGCUACCAGGUGAAACACUCCCAACACAGUUGCGUUGGAGCAAACUACCUUCCAAGCUACAAGGUGAAACGCUCCCAACACAGUUGCGUUGGAGCAAACUAGCUUCCAAGCUACCAGGUGAAACGCUCCCAACACAGUUGCGUUGGAGCAAACUACCUUCCAAGCUACCAGGUGAAACGCUCACAACACAGUUG